CCUUUAUAUUUUUAUUCAAGUUUGUGUUGCUUUAUAGAUACAGACAAUGAUUGCCUAUCAUUUAGGAAAGGAAAUGGCAGAGAACAAAUCUGUCUAAGGUUAUUCUAGAAGCACUUUACUAGUUUUCACUACAGCUUUAUAAUUAUGUUUUAAUUAUUUUUGAGCAACUUUUAUUAGAUUUUGUUUGUUUUUUUAAUAAUGAUUUUUAGUUUUCCAUUAUAGUUGGUUUAUAGUGUUCUGUCAAUUUUCUACUACUGUACAGCAAAGUGACCCAGUCACACAUACAUAUAUAUACAUACAUAUAUAUAUAUACACACUCUUUUUCUCACAUUAUCAUGCUCCAUCACAAGUGACUAGAUAUAGUCCCAGUGCUACCCAGCAGGAUCUCACUGUUGAUCCAUUCCAACAAUUCAGGAAAUGUUAGCGAGAUGUUCUAACAACUAAAUUAAUUAACUAAUAAAGGCAUACCUCCUUUUAUGCAACUGCCUUAUUUGUGUUAGUUUCCGCCUAGCUUUCUCUCCUAACCUACAGAAAUGAGAGUAAUGGAGGUGAGACCAGAGAGGUGGGCAGACAGACACCGGAACAUUCGGGGCCCUGCAGGGGUCUCAGAGAAUUAGGGGUUUACCCUGAAGCCUCGGAGGAACCACCAAAGACUUGAACUCGGAACAAGCAGGCCCACAUGUGUGCUUUGGGGUCAUCACUCUCAUUGCAAAGUGGACACAGAUCAGUGUGGGUGAAACGGGGGCAAGGAGAUGCAUUUGAAGGCUGCUGUGCUCAUCCAGGUGAGAGGAGCUGGCUGUGAAAGAUGGUGGUGGAAGUAGGCUAGAGAUCACAGAAGCAACGCAUAUUCUUUCACCUCUCUUCCUAUUUCACAUGGGACUAAAUGCAAACUCACAUGUUCUAAUAAUAAGCACAUCAAACUCUUUUCAAAGUUCAAAAUACCAUCCUUAAAGCAACAAUGAGUUUUAAAGUAGAUAGCAGCCUUCUAGAAAGGAAAGGGGGAAGCGAAUUGGUGUUCUCUGCCUGGCAGUGGACAAGUGAAAGGCAGAGCAAGGCUGUGUCAUUUCCUCACUUCCUGGUACCCAUGGCUGACGUUAUCCAUUACGACUAUUUAGCCUAGCUUCUAAACUCUAGUUGUGUUCCUCAGUACUUAUUUUGACAAGCGAGUUCUUCCUGAAGCCCCAGAUGCAUUGCUGUUAUGUCAAACUUUACUUCUCCCCUGUAGCAAAGAAUUUGCUCUUUUGGCUGGCAGGAUGUUUCUCAUGAAUGAGCUGGAGAGAACUCUGGGAAAUUUCUCUGUCCCUGGGUGAGGGAUUCCUUAACUGUGAAUUAUUAAGGCCAUAGAGAUGCAUCUAAAAGUAGCAGGAAUCAUCUAGAAAAUAAUGAUCUUUGAAUUUCUACAUAUUUUGCUAUUAAGUGACAUUGACUGGAACCAUAGUCUUCAAGCCUUAGUCACUGAAAAAUGUGAAUAAAAUAUACACUCAUUUUACCCUCAGCUUUUCUUCUAAGUCUGGUUUUGGCAAACUACAACCUGAAAAUCAAAUCCAGCAAACCAAACCCUUUUGUAAUUAAAGUUUUAUUGGAACCCAGCCCCACCUAUUGUUUCUAUAUUGUCUCUGACAACUUUCACUUUCCAUCGUCUGAGCUGGAGUUGGGACAAAGACCUUACAGGUCACAAAGCCAAAAACAUUUACUAUGUAUUCCCUACAGAAAAAGUCUGUAGGACCCUGCUCUCAGCAAAGCUGAAAAACAGCACGUAAAAUAUCCUCUUUUCUAAACUUUCUUGAAAGGAUAAAAAUGAACAGUCACUAAAAUCACAGAAGAAAAAGAAUGGUUUAAAAACUCCCCCAAGCUAUACCUUCUAUCUCCUCAACACUCAGAGUAUAAAACUCACGCGCUGCCUGAGGGUGGAGCACCCUGGAAACCACCGUAUGUGACAUCGGCAGAUGGAGAGGCUGCCACUUUUCUGAAAGGGAUCCCAGGGAGGUCGAUUAACCCGUUAGGAAAACCGUCUAAGGGAGAGUCGCCAGUCCCCAGAGACAGAUGCGGAUUUAAGAGGAUGGAGAUAUUAGAGGAUCCCAAGUGGAGACUCACGCCCACCAUGAGGCAGAAUCCCUGGUGAACCCACACUUCCUCCUGCCCCCCUCCUGCCCUGCAGACAGGAGUUAACGUGACAGAGGACAGCACUGACUCUGCAGCAACUUUGCCUGUGCGACCAGAGGAGCCUUGCCGCUUUUAAUAGGAAAGCUUCGGUGCCACCCCUCGAGUGGAGGGAGACCUGCUGUAAUAAAUCAGGGCACGAGAUGGCAAAUCUUCCCUCACUUCCACCUCAAAAAGAACCAUCCAGCACUGUUUUAACUGCACCCCAGCACGAUCUCCUUGUGUGUUCCCUGGAGCACUUGUGGUAAUCCUUAUUUGUUUCACAGCUGGUGCAGAAUGAAAUCCAUCCCCGUCAAAUACCCUGCUCUAGGGCAGCUGCCCUCGCUCUUCAGUUUGCAUUGCCUGGCCAAGCUAGCGUGAAGCACACGGUAUUGAUUGGAAAGGCACUACCUAGAUAGACCCUUGAAGGGCCGUCAAAUGAUCACCUACCCUGUAUUUCCUUAUCUCCCCACGUAUAACAGCAAAUACAAUUGAUCAGUAAAUGUCGGAGCGUAGUUUGGGCAAUUAAUGAAUAAAACCUUCUUGGGGAACAUGUUCUACCCCGCCCCUCCCCCCACACACGAAGCAUCUGAGUUGUGAGCCCCUGUGUGACAGACAAAUCACAGCCCUUUCCCCACAGGCUGACUGCCUCUCCUCUUGCCUUGUUUUACAUAGACCCUGCUCUUCAUUUUCGCCUCUGACAGUAAAAACCCCAGGACAAGACUGUCACAAAAAGGAUUAUCUUUCAGAUCAAUGGUGAAAUCGAUUCCAAACUCCACUAUUUAUCAGCCUGCAGCAAAAGUGCAACUGGAUAGGAAAUAUGUCCUCUCUUUUGAAUGCUUGUUUGGUUCAUCUAGGCAACAAUUCACCUCCUUCUACACUGAUGCGGCAGCCUGACUUUUUACCCAUAGAUGCAUAAUCAUAAAGUACACCUCACCGGCCCAAAGCACUCUUUUCAAUAUCCUUUUAUAGGUGAUGCAGAGUCCUUCACGCUCAACUUAAUAUAUUUAUAGUACACAAGGUACAGGUUAUUUUUUUCAGUUAAACUUUCUAACUCUAAAAACGGAGGCUAAAGCAUACACUAAAUGGUAACAGGGCCAAGAGAAACAGCACAUUAGUUAACUUACUUCCACCCUACCUCUUGAUAGAUUUCUGUUCUCCCACAACUCCCCUCAAGUAAUUGUUUUACACCAAAACCCAAGGGAGAGUUUACUAAGAUUACCGACAACUUCACUGACCUACGUGUUAUGUUACCCAUAUAAUUCAAUAGCAAUGGAUUUUAUCAACAUCAACUGGCUUUCACAGGACCAGAAAAUGUAGGCUUUCAAUUCCUUGGUAUAAUUAAAUAAAUUAUUUAAAACUCCUACUCACCUUAGUAAUUCAAAACAUUUUCCUUAAAAAAAGUCUAGAUACUGAAGUGACCUGUAAAAUUGAUUUACAACAGGUUGAUGUAAUUUAUUAAAAAUAAAUUAUCGCAGCCAGAAGUUACCUUAAAGAAAUAUGGUUUAAAAAAAAAAAAAAAAGUCUCUGGAGUUCCCUUCAUGGCUCAGUGGUUGACAAAUCUGACUGGGAACCAUGAGGCUGCAGGUUCGAUCCCUGGCCUCGCUCAGUGGGUUAAGGAUCUGGCGUUGCCGUGAGCUGUGGUGUGGGUUGCAGACGCGGCUUGGAUCCCGUGUUGCUGUGGCUGUGGUGUAGGCCGGCGGCUGCAGCUCCAAUUGGACCCCCAGCCUGGGAGCCUCCAUGUGCCAUGGGAGCAGCCCAAGAAAUGGCAAAAAGACUAAAUAAAUACAUAAAUAAAUAAAUAAAAAAGAAAAUGUCAAAAUGAUAUAUUCAUAUCACAGUGCCUUGUACAAACAUUCUGCAAUAUCUAGUGUAGACACUUCAAGUUUCUUAAAGCAGAAAUAAAGAUUGACCAAGACUUGCCAAAGGCUUCUAAUUUAAGCAUUCCUAUUUAAGUCAAUUAUUUAGACUCUAAAAUGUAUUUUCUCAUAAAAACGAUUAUAUGCAGUGACAAAAAUUAUAUAUAACUGAAAUGCCACUGAAUUCAAAUGCACAGAUUCAAAGUUUAUUGUGAAUCUUAGAUUCCAAGGCCAUCCCAGCCAAGCCUUUUAUCCAAGAUCAGAUGUGCAUUUAGAAAGAUUAAUUAGCUGACAAUGAAGAGAAUGUUCGGCAAAGAAUCAGAACACAUGUGGAUAAAACCAGCUGAUAGAUUAAUCUGUGUGUCAUCCAUCGCCUCUUAAUGAAGUAGGUCAGUCAAGAAAAGAUGGUUGAGGUUGUGAUGAUUGUUGUACAACUAUAAAUGCAAUAAAAUUCAUUGAGUAAUUCAAAUAAAUUCAAAAAAGAAAAAAGAAAAGAUGGUUGACUAGACCAGGCAUGGUUAUGUCAAAAUGGAGACUCAGAGAUGAAAGGUUAAACUGACUCUCCUGAUGAUAGAUUUGAUCCUGAGAUAAGAGGAAAGUUGUAAGGAAGAUUGCCAGGUAAAUGGUUGACAGUUAAACCAUCUGAAACAGAAAUAAAUGCUGGAAGAGAACCCAGCUUGGAAAUGGCAGGGUGGGAGAGAGCCCUGAAUUUAACUGGGACACAUGGGGUUUGAAGUGUCUUUGAGACAUGUAACUAUCAAAGUCAGGAAAGCAAACGGUCUCGAGCACAGAGAAGCAGAAAUUUGGAGUAAAAAAUGCCCCCAAUCCCAAGACCUGGCCCUGGAGUGAGUUUUCUGGGAAGAUUACUGUUCGCAACAUGGCCGGGCUCCCAGGGAAAGAAGGACCUCAAAUGAGCACUGGGGCUGAGUAAGCCCAGGAGGAGAAGCUAGAACACAGGACACCCCGCUGGCCAUGCAGUGGCGUCUGAGUAGGAAAGAGGUCUAUGACGUGGGCCAGGGGUGCAUCCAGCCCUUUGGGAAUGAAGGUCAGCGGGAUGUGCGUCAGCUGAACGGGGGCUGGGGGACUCAUCUCCAUGGGGUUUCCUGGGAGUGGGUGGGUGAUGGCCCUGCCACCCACCCAGUGCGGCUUCUCCCUGAGAGAACCAGAGCUGUGAUAACACAGCGCGGGAAGAGGCAACGUGGGUGGGAAAGUGGCAGCUUUGAAGCACUUUGCGCAGGGAACAGACACUAGUUCCACCCCCACCACCUCAGGGAAAAAGUUAAAUCUACAAGAGAUGUUAAGGCAAUCUAUUCAAACUCCUUUAGUUUGAUCAAACUUGGUCAUGAAUUUAGAAAAGGGCCAGAAUAGCCAACUUAAGCCAAGGUCCCAUGAUCCCCAGACCACAAAUGUUUCUGCCAUCCCCCCUGUCCCCAGCUUGCCUUACACUGGUCACCUGAAGGCUUGAAGAACUAGCUUGUGAAAUAAGGAUCAUAAUAAUGAAGGAGGAAAAAUAAAAUAAAAUCAAUGCCUUGCGAAUAAUAACCAAUUUAUUCUUGUCUUUUUGAGGGAGGGGGGGCUGCACCCACGGCAUAUGGAGGUUCCCAGGCUAGGGGUAGAAUCAGAGCUGCAGCUGCUGGCCUGCACCACAGCCACAGCGACAUCAGAUCCGAGCCACAUCUGUGAUACACCACAGCUCACAGCAGCGCUGGACCCUUAACCCACUGAGCGGGGCCAGGGAUCGCAUCUGCGUCCUCAUGGAUACUAGUCGGUUCGUCUCUGCUGAGCUAUGACGGGAACUCCCAAACCUAUUUAUACUUCACAGCUACCAUGUGAGGUAGAGCCUGUUGUUGUUCCCGUUUAGUCACUGAGACAGAAAGGUUAUGUAAGUCACCCACAGUUACACAGCUGGCUAUUGGCAGAGGCAGGAUCUGAACUCAGGCAACUUGCUCCAGAAUCCAGGCUCUUAACUAUGACAAAGCAUGGUUCUUUCACAUGAAGGAUUCCAUUUGUUAAAAAAAAAAAAAAAAAAAAA
rnacentral:lncRNA from 1 species